rnacentral:lncRNA from 1 species
GAUUGAAGAAGAUGGGAAGGAGUUGUCCAACAGUGACAAAGGGAUCACAAAAAAAAAAAAACACACGAGAGAAUCACUAAUCCAUAAUUUGUUUUUUUUAAGAGAAAGAGAUUCUUUCAAUCAAUGGAAGCCCCCCUGGUGAGUUAAAUUUUUUUGAGGUCGUAUUUACAGAUAAUUUUUAUUUUGUAAAGUGAUACUAUUGGAUUUUUCGUUGGAUUAUUUCCUUAAUUUUGCAUCAAUUGACUUGCAUCAACACUCAACGAGGAAGAGAAAAAUUGAUGUUCCAUAUCUCUUUAGCCCCAGAAGCUAAGGUAGUAUAUCUGACUUAUUUAUCAAUUUUGUGUUGGAUUUAUAUACGCUUGAUUCUUAUGCUUGAUGAUGGUGAGGAGUUUAAUUAAGUUUUAUGAAACUUUUGAUAUUUUGUCUUGAUUAUAUAGGUGAAAGCAAAGGGUUCCAUAGAUUUACAAGUACAGUUUGGGUGAUUGCUUUUAGUUUGAUGAUGGGUUCAAUUCGUGUUGGCUUUAAGUUUCAACUCUAGGUAAGUGUUAGUAGACCUAUAACCUUAAUUGGCCAAUAACAAUAUUUCAUAACAACAUGAUUUCUACAUAUUUUAAGAUGGAAGAUGGAUUAAUAUUGAAUUAUUUUCUUUUGAUAUUAAUGUUACAUUUGGAUUUUAUUUAAGUUUUUGUUUUUUGUUUGAAUCAGUGUAAUCCAUUACUUAUUUUUAGUCUUUGUGUAAUGAAUAUAUCACCUUUUAAAUAAGAAGGCUUCUACCUCUACGAUGAGUCAAUGAGACGUCCAGGUUCCAUUCUUACGAACGUAUAUCUUUUUUUAACCUAGCUCAACGGGCUGACCUGACCCUCUUUUUUAAGUGCAGUUAGUCAUCAUUCUACGAAACAUCAAAAAAAGUUUUGAUUUUAUUUGCUUCAACUUGCUAAUGUUAAUUUGUAAGUAAAUAUAUUUUGUUUUUCCCAGGACUAUGCAAUAGAGAGACACUUUCGAGGAAAAAAAAUAUAAGCUGGAGAUGGAAAGAAAUUACGUUAUGUGUAAUCCAUUGUUUACAUUUUGAUUUUACUGAAGUUUUUGUUAUUUGUUAUAAAUCGAUAAAAAUUAGUGUAAUAUAUUGCUUACUUUUUGUCUUUUUGUAUCACCUUUUAAUAAGAAGGCUUCUACCUCUACUUGAAUUGAGGCCUCCGAGUUCCAUUCUUAUAAACAUAAAACAUAUAUAUGUUCUGACCUUGACCCUCUUUCUAAAGUUAGUCCUCAUCCUAUGAGGCAUCAAAAGAGGUUUGUGGGUAAAUAUAUAUAUAUAUUUUUUUUGCAGGACUAUGCAAUAGAGAAACACUUUUGAGGGAAAAAAAAAGAUAAGCUGGAGUUGGAAAUAAGUUGCAGAGUGUUCAGAUGUUCUACUAUGCUUCCUUCUAUGUGAGUUCAUGCCAGUCUCAACAGGCUAUAUGACAGAUCGCAGUUCAACAAAUUUCGCAAGGUACAACACACGAGUAAGGGGAGGGAGUAAGACUACAAAUGAUCAGCACCCCGACAAGAAUGAAGUCUGCAGCGGGUUAGGGACUGUGGAAGAGCCACAUAUGAUCAUUACUGACUCAUACAGUUAUACAUUAGGGACUGUAUAAGAGCCACAUGAUCAUUACUGAUCAUAAAGUUAUACAUUAUCAUGUACUCGCUAUUUUUGAGUUUGUUUUAACUUUUUAGGUGAACAUCUAACACAUUGGAAAUGAGAAACAUGUAGUCGAUGUAAGUCAGUUGCAGAUUAUAUGUACUGAUGCAUAUGCAUAAAGAUAGCAUGUGCAAGGCACAUGCCUCAUAGUUCCUGCAGAUUUCUAUAUGGAUUAGAACAUCCCUAGUAGUAGUUUCUAUUUACUUAGCUUUCUAGUUUAGUUAGGAUUAA